rnacentral:misc_RNA from 1 species
GGAAGUAAAAGUCGUAACAAGGUUUCCGUAGGUGAACCUGCGGAAGGAUCAUUAAAGAGUUAGGGUCCCUCCAGGCCCGACCUCCCAACCCUUUGUUUACCUUGCUGCAUGUUGCUUUGGCGGACCCGUCUCACGACCGCCCUGGGACCGCCGAGAGGUGCCCCUGGGCCCGUGUCCGCCGAUAGCCAACCUAAACUCUUGAAUGAAUCGUGUUUUAUGUCUGAGUCUAUUGAUUAAAUCAAAAGCAAAAACUUUCAACAACGGAUCUCUUGGUUCUGGCAUCGAUGAAGAACGCAGCGAAAUGCGAUAAGUAAUGCGAAUUGCAGAAUUCCCGUGAGUCAUCGAAUCUUUGAACGCACAUUGCGCCCUUUGGUAUUCCAAAGGGCAUGCCUGUCCGAGCGUCAUUAUCACCCCUCAAGCCCCGUGCUUGGUGUUGGACGGAUUUUGGUCGUGUAACAACGGCCCCUCCUAAAGACAAUGACGGCGGCCUGCGGAUCCCCCGGUACACUGAGCUUUUAACUGAGCACGUAUCGGACAAGGGCGCCCAGGACACGGUCCUUCUCCUCAACCAGGAAAUUUCUUCAAGGUUGACCUCGGAUCAGGUAGGAAUACGCGCUGAACUUAAGCAUAUCAAUAAGCGGAGGA